UCUUUUCGGAGGAUACUUACUAUACUAUAACUGAGGAAGUAUAUGCAGGACACAUUGUUAAAUUAGGAAUUCUUCGUUUAUGAUUAUUAAGU
rnacentral:snoRNA from 1 species